rnacentral:rRNA from 1 species
CCUACGGGUGGCAGCAGUCGAGAAUCAUUCACAAUGGGGGAAACCCUGAUGGUGCGACGCCGCGUGGGGGAAUGAAGGUCUUCGGAUUGUAAACCCCUGUCAUGUGGGAGCAAAUUAAAAAGAUAGUACCACAAGAGGAAGAGACGGCUAACUCUGUGCCAGCAGCCGCGGUAAUACAGAGGUCUCAAGCGUUGUUCGGAAUCACUGGGCGUAAAGCGUGCGUAGGCUGUUUCGUAAGUCGUGUGUGAAAGGCGCGGGCUCAACCCGCGGACGGCACAUGAUACUGCGAGAAUAGAGUAAGGGAGGGGGAACCGGAAUUCUCGGUGUAGCAGUGAAAUGCGUAGAUAUCGAGAGGAACACUCGUGGCGAAGGCGGGUUCCUGGACAUUAACUGACGCUGAGGCACGAAGGCCAGGGGAGCGAAAGGGAUUAGAUACCCCAGUAGUC